CAGUAGCCGCGGUAAUACGUAGGUGGCAAGCGUUGUCCGGAAUUAUUGGGCGUAAAGGGCCCGCAGGCGGUUUCUUAAGUCUGAUGUGAAAGCCCCCGGCUCAACCGGGGAGGGUCAUCGGAAACUGGGAAACUUGAGUGCAGAAGAGGAGAGUGGAAUUCCACGUGUAGCGGUGAAAUGCGUAGAGAUGUGGAGGAACACCAGUGGCGAAGGCGACUCUCUGGUCUGUAACUGACGCUGAGGAGCGAAAGCGUGGGGAGCGAACAGGAUUAGAUACCCCUGUAGUCCCUGUCUCUUAUAC
rnacentral:rRNA from 1 species